GACGAACCGUACGAACGUUAUUCGGAAUCACUGGGCUUAAAGGGUGCGUAGGCGGUGCGGCAAGUUGGAUGUGAAAUACCUCAGCUUAACUGAGGAACUGCAUUCAAAACUGCCGUGCUUGAGUGAGACAGGGGUAAGCGGAACUGAGGGUGGAGCGGUGAAAUGCGUUGAUAUCCUCAGGAACACCGGUGGCGAAAGCGGCUUACUGGGUCUCAACUGACGCUGAGGCACGAAAGCUAGGGUAGCGAACGGG
rnacentral:rRNA from 1 species